rnacentral:tRNA from 1 species
CAGAAAGUAGUUUAAUUAAAAAUAUUAGUUUUGGGGACUAAAGAUAGGGGAGUUACCUUUUUCUGA